rnacentral:rRNA from 1 species
GUGCCAGCAGCCGCGGUAAUACGAAGGGGGCUAGCGUUGUUCGGAAUUACUGGGCGUAAAGCGCACGUAGGCGGCUUGCCAAGUUGGGGGUGAAAUCCCGAGGCUCAACCUCGGAAUUGCCUUCAAAACUGGCAGGCUUGAGUUCGGAAGAGGUGAGUGGAAUUCCCAGUGUAGAGGUGAAAUUCGUAGAGAUUGGGAAGAACACCAGUGGCGAAGGCGGCUCACUGGUCCGCAACUGACGCUGAGGUGCGAAAGCGUGGGGAGCAAACAGGAUUAGAUACCCCGGUAGUCC